UGGGGGUCACGAGCCGAGGUCCGUGCGGUUGCGAGGGAAGGUCCCGACUGCCCGAGCGAGGGGCGGGGCAGGGGUGGGUGAGCUCUGGGCACCCUUCGCUGCCUCUGAACCUUCCGGGAGUCUACUGGCACCGGCGCGCGUCUCCACUCACGUGACGUGGGAUUCGGGGACCUCGCCCCCUGGAGGCUUGUGGUGUGAGCUUCUGGAAUCCUGACCACCCCAACCAACCUAGCCAUCGUGAACUCUUAAUCAGAGGAUGUGGCAACAGCCGCACUUGGCAAUGGACCUUAUGUCAGAGGAAGUGGCUUUCAUAUUGCAGCAAAAAUUCCAGCACCUAUGUCAUCAGUCGCUGCUUGAGGGAAAGCGACUAAACUUUUAUAUCACUCCCCUCUCCCGGUAUUGUGAACCAUUAAAUAUUCAACGCAAUUAUCCUGAAA